rnacentral:tRNA from 2 species
GCGGGAUGGAGCAGUUGGUAGCUCGCUUGGCUCAUAACCAAGAGGUCGCCGGUUCGAGUCCGGCUCUCCGCC